GUAAACCAAGACAGCAAACCAGCUGUUCGCCAGAGCACUACAAGUGAAAAACUUAAAACUCAAAGGACUUGACGGCAUUCCACAUCAAACUAGAGGAGCCUGUCCUAUAAUCGAUAACCCACGCUUCACCCCACCUGUCCUCGCACUCAGCCUAUAUACCGCCGUCCACAGCUCGCCUUACAAAAGAAUAACCGCGGGCAAACCAGACCACUAAUACAUCAGGUCAAGGUGUAGCUUACGAACAGGCAGAGAUGGGCUACAUUUUCUACAAAACAGAAAACAACCACCCGCACCAUGAAACAAGUGCACAAAGGAGGAUUUAGCAGUAAGCCACGAAAGAUUGCGUGACUGAA
rnacentral:rRNA from 1 species